UGCAAUUUAGAGAAAAUUGCAACUUUGGGCCCAAAGGUUUGAAUAAUUAAAUUCAAACCUAUAGUUUUUUUUUAAUAUAAUUUUGGGACUCACAAUCCCAUUUUUAUAUUAUUUUUCUCUCUUCCUCUCACGUUGCUCGGCGUUUUCUCGCAAGGGGGGAUUAUUUUCUUUUUUCUUCAGAUUAUAUUGACAAAGAUAGUGGUGAAAAAGGAGUUGUGAAGGGGAACUUGUUAUUCAAGACACAAGGAGCGAAUCCGGCCGAGAAAGCACCAGAGGUGUAAUUAUGGUGUAUGAGACACCAUCUUUUACGUUGCCUCUUAUUUUGGAUUAUACAAUGUAUCUUGUGCCAACUUAGGACAUAUCUUGUCUAUGGAGCAUGUAAACUCUAAUCCUUUUUAUUAAAUGCAUUUAUAUGUCCAAGAGGAUUAUGUCUGUCCCUUUUGAUUCAUGACCUAAUUUAAAUAACAUGCUAUGAGGAUCAUGUCUGUCCCUCAUGGUUCUAAUUGCUUUUUGAGAUAUUUUAAGACCUGUGGUAUAUUGUCUUGGAUGUAUCAUGGUAGAAAUUUUUCUACCAUGAUAAGGGUAUGAUAAGGGUUCAAUGAAAAAAAAAAUGAUUUCUUGAAUUAAUAACUUGCGAAAAAUCGGUUUGUAAA